rnacentral:rRNA from 2 species
CAGUCGAACGAACUCUGGUAUUGAUUGGUGCUUGCAUCAUGAUUUACAUUUGAGUGAGUGGCGAACUGGUGAGUAACACGUGGGAAACCUGCCCAGAAGCGGGGGAUAACACCUGGAAACAGAUGCUAAUACCGCAUAACAACUUGGACCGCAUGGUCCGAGUUUGAAAGAUGGCUUCGGCUAUCACUUUUGGAUGGUCCCGCGGCGUAUUAGCUAGAUGGUGGGGUAACGGCUCACCAUGGCAAUGAUACGUAGCCGACCUGAGAGGGUAAUCGGCCACAUUGGGACUGAGACACGGCCCAAACUCCUACGGGAGGCAGCAGUAGGGAAUCUUCCACAAUGGACGAAAGUCUGAUGGAGCAACGCCGCGUGAGUGAAGAAGGGUUUCGGCUCGUAAAACUCUGUUGUUAAAGAAGAACAUAUCUGAGAGUAACUGUUCAGGUAUUGACGGUAUUUAACCAGAAAGCCACGGCUAACUACGUGCCAGCAGCCGCGGUAAUACGUAGGUGGCAAGCGUUGUCCGGAUUUAUUGGGCGUAAAGCGAGCGCAGGCGGUUUUUUAAGUCUGAUGUGAAAGCCUUCGGCUCAACCGAAGAAGUGCAUCGGAAACUGGGAAACUUGAGUGCAGAAGAGGACAGUGGAACUCCAUGUGUAGCGGUGAAAUGCGUAGAUAUAUGGAAGAACACCAGUGGCGAAGGCGGCUGUCUGGUCUGUAACUGACGCUGAGGCUCGAAAGUAUGGGUAGCAAACAGGAUUAGAUACCCUGGUAGUCCAUACCGUAAACGAUGAAUGCUAAGUGUUGGAGGGUUUCCGCCCUUCAGUGCUGCAGCUAACGCAUUAAGCAUUCCGCCUGGGGAGUACGGCCGCAAGGCUGAAACUCAAAGGAAUUGACGGGGGCCCGCACAAGCGGUGGAGCAUGUGGUUUAAUUCGAAGCUACGCGAAGAACCUUACCAGGUCUUGACAUACUAUGCAAAUCUAAGAGAUUAGACGUUCCCUUCGGGGACAUGGAUACAGGUGGUGCAUGGUUGUCGUCAGCUCGUGUCGUGAGAUGUUGGGUUAAGUCCCGCAACGAGCGCAACCCUUAUUAUCAGUUGCCAGCAUUAAGUUGGGCACUCUGGUGAGACUGCCGGUGACAAACCGGAGGAAGGUGGGGAUGACGUCAAAUCAUCAUGCCCCUUAUGACCUGGGCUACACACGUGCUACAAUGGAUGGUACAACGAGUUGCGAACUCGCGAGAGUAAGCUAAUCUCUUAAAGCCAUUCUCAGUUCGGAUUGUAGGCUGCAACUCGCCUACAUGAAGUCGGAAUCGCUAGUAAUCGCGGAUCAGCAUGCCGCGGUGAAUACGUUCCCGGGCCUUGUACACACCGCCCGUCACACCAUGAGAGUUUGUAACACCCAAAGUCGGUGGGGUAA